UACGAAGGGGGCUAGCGUUGCUCGGAAUUACUGGGCGUAAAGGGCGCGUAGGCGGACAGUUUAGUCAGAGGUGAAAGCCCAGGGCUCAACCUUGGAAUUGCCUUUGAUACUGGCUGUCUUGAGUUCGGGAGAGGUGAGUGGAAUGCCGAGUGUAGAGGUGAAAUUCGUAGAUAUUCGCAAGAACACCAGUGGCGAAGGCGGCUCACUGGCCCGGUACUGACGCUGAGACGCGAAAGCGUGGGGAGCAAACAGG
rnacentral:rRNA from 1 species